AUUCCAUAGCUCAGUUGGUAAAGAAUCUGCCUGCAACGCAGGAGACCUGGGUUCGAUCCCUAGGUUGGGAUG
rnacentral:tRNA from 1 species